rnacentral:lncRNA from 1 species
CUAGAAAACUGGUUCUAUGAACCACUGUUUGUAGACCUCACCUCACUUCACCGUUUCUAUCCCGUACGAAAUAGAGCGAAGUGUUUGCUUGGAUGUGUAAAUCGUCAAUUUCAAAGUAUGUAAUCUAGCACCUCUUUCCACCGUUCCUAUCCAUUUUCCCAAUUGCAAUCUAGUAUGACUUUGAUGAGAUUUGAAAGCUCGCCGUAUAUUUGAUUCUCUUUGUAAUUGUAACUCAAAUUCCUGAUCCGUUGUAUAAUAUUGCAGAAAAUGAUUCCACAUUGUUUUUCCCUUUUAUGCUUGUGUAGGUACCAGUAGUUAUCUGAGUUGUAAUGUCUAGUUUAGCGCAUGAGAAAAUGAUUCCACCCGACAACAAGAGAGGGAGGCGUGAUAAUAAUGAAGAUAGGUUGAGUGACUUACCUGAUUGUGUUCUCCUUCACAUNNNNNNNAAUUCCAAACACGCCGUU